rnacentral:rRNA from 1 species
UACGAAGGGUGCAAACGUUGCUCGGAAUUAUUGGGCGUAAAGCGCACGUAGGCGGCUUAGCAAGUCGGAAGUGAAAGCCCUCGGCUCAACCAAGGAAGUGCUUUCGAAACUGCUGAGCUUGAGUAGUUAAGAGGAUCGCGGAAUUCCCGGUGUAGAGGUGAAAUUCGUAGAUAUCAGGAGGAACACCGGCGGCGAAGGCGGCCCCCCUGGCCCCGCAACUGACGCUCAUGGGUCGAAAAGCGUGGGGAGCAAACAGG